GCCGAAUUAAUACCGCAUGUGGCUACUGGAGACAUCUUCGGGACGCUAAAGGUGGCGCAAGCUACCGCUUUUUGAGGAGCCCGCGGCCUAUCAGCUUGUUGGUGAGGUAACGGCUCACCAAGGCGUUGACGGGUAGCUGGUCUGAGAGGACGACCAGCCACACUGGGACUGAGACACGGCCCAGACACCUACGGGUGGCAGCAGUCGAGAAUUUUUGACAAUGGGGGAAACCCUGAUCGAGCGACGCCGCGUGGAGGAUGAAGGUCUUCGGGUUGUAAACUCCUGUCAUUUGGGAACAAGGCGUAUUUAUUAACUGUAAGUACGUUGAUAGUACCAGAAGAGGAAGAGACGGCUAACUCUGUGCCAGCAGCCGCGGUAAUACAGAGGUCUCAAGCAUUGUUCGGAUUCAUUGGGCGUAAAGGGUGUGUAGGUGGCGCGCUAAGUCGGGUGUGAAAUUUCGGAGCUUAACUCCGAAACUGCAUUCGAUACUGGCGUGCUUGAGGACUGGAGAGGAGACUGGAAUUCACGGUGUAGCA
rnacentral:rRNA from 1 species